UACGGAGGGUGCGAGCGUUGUUCGGAAUUACUGGGCGUAAAGCGCGCGCAGGCGGUUCUUUAAGUCAGGGGUGAAAGCCCAGAGCUCAACUCUGGAAUUGCCUUUGAAACUAGAGAACUUGGGUACGGGAGAGGUGAGUGGAAUUCCGAGUGUAGAGGUGAAAUUCGUAGAUAUUCGGAAGAACACCAGUGGCGAAGGCGGCUCACUGGCCCGUUACCGACGCUCAGGCGCGACAGCGUGGGGAGCAAACAGG
rnacentral:rRNA from 1 species